AUGAACGCUAGCGACAGGCCUAACACAUGCAAGUCGAGGGCAGCACAAGGAGCAAUCUGAGGUGGCGACCGGCGCACGGGUGAGUAACACGUAUGCAACCUGCCUGUAAGAGGGGAAUAACCCGUCGAAAGACGGACUAAUACCGCAUAAUACUAAAUUACUGCAUGGUAAUUUAUUUAAACAUUUAUGGCUUACAGAUGGGCAUGCGCAUGAUUAGCUAGUUGGAGAGGUAACGGCUCCCCAAGGCAACGAUCAUUAGGGGUUCUGAGAGGAAGGUCCCCCACACUGGUACUGAGACACGGACCAGACUCCUACGGGAGGCAGCAGUGAGGAAUAUUGGUCAAUGGACGAGAGUCUGAACCAGCCAAGUCGCGUGCAGGAAGAAUGUCCUUAAUGGAUUGUAAACUGCUUUUGCAGGGGAAUAAAGUGCAUCACGUGUGAUGUUUUGUAUGUACUCUGCGAAUAAGGAUCGGCUAACUCCGUGCCAGCAGCUGC
rnacentral:rRNA from 1 species